rnacentral:rRNA from 1 species
UACGUAGGGCGCAAGCGUUUAUCCGGAAUUAUUGGGCGUAAAGAGCUCGUAGGCGGUUUGUCGCGUCUGCCGUGAAAGUCCGGGGCUCAACUCCGGAUCUGCGGUGGGUACGGGCAGACUAGAGUGCAGAAGGGGCAACUGGAAUUCUCGGUGUAGCGGUGAAAUGCGUAGAUAUCGAGAGGAACACCUGCGGCGAAGGCGGGUUGCUGGGCUGACACUGACGCUGAUGCGCGAAAGCUAGGGGAGCGAACGGG